GAUGAACGCUGGCGGCGUGCCUAAUGCAUGCAAGUCGAGCGAACAGACGAGGAGCUUGCUCCUCUGACGUUAGCGGCGGACGGGUGAGUAACACGUGGAUAACCUACCUAUAAGACUGGGAUAACUUCGGGAAACCGGAGCUAAUACCGGAUAACAUGUUGAACCGCAUGGUUUAACAGUGAAAGACGGUCUUGCUGUCACUUAUAGAUGGAUCCGCGCCGCAUUAGCUAGUUGGUAAGGUAACGGCUUACCAAGGCAACGAUGCGUAGCCGACCUGAGAGGGUGAUCGGCCACACUGGAACUGAGACACGGUCCAGACUCCUACGGGAGGCAGCAGUAGGGAAUCUUCCGCAAUGGGCGAAAGCCUGACGGAGCAACGCCGCGUGAGUGAAGAAGGUCUACGGAUCGUAAAACUCUGUUAUUAGGGAAGAACAAAUGUGUAAGUAACUAUGCACGUCUUGACGGUACCUAAUCAGAAAGCCACGGCUAACUACGUG
rnacentral:rRNA from 1 species